CCGCUCACGUUCGCAGCACAUUAUAACGUUACGUGGCUUUCCGCUGAAACCGGAAAAGGAAGAUUCAUCUCUGUUGCUAAUCAUCACAGGAAUCACUCGAACUGGGAGUCAAAUCUAGGACAACCUAGAGAAAAAAAAGAUUAACAAUGGUGACAGAUGUGCAGCUGGCCAUAUUUGCCAACAUGCUUGGUGUCUCAUUGUUCCUGCUGGUUGUGUUAUAUCACUACGUUGCAGUCAACAAUCCUAAGAAGCAGGAGUAGGAGAGUCCAAACAUGAUGUCACACAUGAAAAAGGAGUCACUGUGGCCAUCCUGGAGAUAACAUUCCUCUCCCUUUUUCAUCCUUCUUUCUAGGAAGAUUUCUAUGUAAUAGUUGCACAGUCAUGGAUGCUUGUUUUUUGUAAUAAACAUGUGAAUAAACACCAGAAAUGGAAAAAAAAAACGUCUUAGU